rnacentral:ncRNA from 1 species
AAGAAAGUAAAUAAGGGCGCAUGGCGGAUGCCUUGGCUCAUGGAGGCGAUGAAGGACGUGAUAAGCUGCGAUAAGCCGCGGUAAGGUGCAAAUGACCCUUGACCCGCGGAUUUCCGAAUGGGACAACCCACCCGCGCAAUACGCGGGUAUCACCGCACAAGGCGGUGAGGCGAACCGGGGGAACUGAAACAUCUUAGUACCCCGAGGAAGAGAAAAUAAGUUAAUGAUUCCCCCAGUAGUGGCGAGCGAACGGGGAAGAGCCCAAACCGGCGUUGUGGCAACGCAUCGCCGGGGUUGUAGGACCGCGCCGUUGCACGCGGCGUGUGAGGAGAAGCUCCCUGGAAAGGGGCGCCGUAGCGGGUGAAAGCCCCUUAUCCGAAGCACAAAGCGGCAUAGCGGUAUCCUGAGUAACGCGGGACACGUGAAAUCCUGCGCGAAGCUGCCGGGACCAUCCGGUAAGGCUAAAUACUCCCAUGAGACCGAUAGCGAACCAGUACCGUGAGGGAAAGGUGAAAAGCACUUCGACAAGAAGAGUGAAAUAGUUCCUGAAACCAUGCGCCUACAAGCGGUCGGAGCUGCUUUUGCAGUGACGGCGUGCCUUUUGCAUAAUGAACCUACGAGUUACCUUCACCAGCAAGGUUAAGGGCCAUGAGGCCCGCAGCCGCAGUGAAAGCGAGCCUGAACAGGGCGUAUGGCGCACGCAAGU